rnacentral:miRNA from 1 species
UGUGUGCAUGUGCUUGUGUGUA